CGGAGCGAGGCCAGGGAUCAAACCCACAACCUCAUGAUUCCUAGUCGGAUUCGCUUCUGCUGAGCCACAACAGGAAGUCCUCGACACCAGAUCUUAAGCCACGGUCUGUUGCUGGCCACUUGGGUUCCUCCUAUAUCUUUCUGUUAUAAAUAAGUGCUGCAGGAGUUCUCAUUGUGGCUCCGUGGAAAAGAAUCCGACUAGUAGAGUUCCUGUUGUGGCUUGGUGGUUAUCGAGUCUGACUAGCAUCAGUGAGGAUGCAGGUUCGAUCCUUGGCUUUGCUCGUUGGGUUCACUAUCUGGCAUUGUGGUGAGCUGUGGAGUAGGUCACAGCCAUGGCUUGGAUCCUGCAUUGGUGUGGCUGUGGGGUAGUCCAGCAGCUACAGGUCCAAUUCUGUCCCUAGCCUGGGCACCUCCAUAUGCCCAAGGUGUGACCCUAAAAAGCAACAAGCAAAGCAAAACAAAACAAAACAAACAAAACAAACCAUCCGACUAGUGUCCAUGAGGAUGCAGGUUCGAUCCCUGGCCACACUUAGUGGGUCAGGGAUCCGGCAUUCCCGUGCACUAUGGUGUAGGUUGCAGAUGUGGCUUCAAUUCUGCACUGCCAUGGUUGUGGCAUAGGCCAGCAGCGGUAGCUCCAGGUCAGCCCCUAGCCUGGGAACUCACAUAUGCCUCAGGUGAGGCCCUAUCCAAGUCUCACUGGGCCCCACACACCCUCAUGCCAAAGCCACAUCCAGGGAGAGAGACGGGUCCAGGGCAGGCAGGUGAGGAUGCAGGGCAGGGCCAGGAGCAGCCCUGUUUAAUUCCAGUUCCUUUUUCUGCCACAAUGUAUUUGUUUCCCUUUGGUUCACAGCUGGGGUGAAGGGUCCAGGGUGGUUCCAGGGCUGCCUCGUGUCUGCAGAGAGACUUGAGGUAGAAGCCCAGGCUCGGGCUGGUUCCCAGAGGCUCCUGGGGGCACCUGAAGGGGAGGCUUUGCAGGAGAAAGUGGCCCGGCCCAGCCCGGGGGCGGGCAGCCUGCAGAGGGCGGUCAGGUGGUGGCCCAUCUUCCUGGUGAGUUUCACCUGCUCCCCAGGCAGCAGCUCCACGGGAAGUCAGGGAGGUGGGCGUGUGUGGGGGGGGACCCCAGGGCCUUCGGGUCCAGAGGGCCCAGUUCAGGUCUUCUCCAGCAACUCAGCAGAUUCCGUGGUGUCCUGGGUUUUCGCCCCUGCUCCUGAGGCGGCUUCUGCUCCUCCUGGAAGAGGCUGCAGCCCCCUUUUCACCAUUGCAUUUUCCGGAGAGCUCGGCACCCUCGUGCUUCUGCUCAGCAAUUCAUGGGAUAAUUGUCCACACCCUCCCGAGCUGCGUCGUCACAGUGGACAAAGAAGGCCAGCGAGAGGCAGAGAAGGAGAGAGGACAGCGCGACAGGAACAGGUAAACAUCCAGUAGCCUUGUGAUUCAUGGACCUUUUGCAGAAGGACAGACCCAGACGGACAGAGGUGAGUACAGGUGCGGUGAGGGGCUGGCAUCGUGGACCAGGGAGAGGGGAGCUGUGCCAAGGGCUGGAGCCAUCAGGGCUCCUGCCCCCCAUCCCACAGGGUCUGGGGCCCCUGCAAGUGUGCCUGGAGUCUGUCCUUCAGGCCACAGCCUUGAGGAAGGAAGGUAUGGAGACGUGGCUGUUUGGACGUGAGGGCAGCAGGAUGUGGGAAUACAGAGUGAGACGGCUCCAGCAUCAGUCUGACCACGAAGUGAUGCCUGGAUCAGUACCUGAGUGGUGUGUGUGCAUUUCUCAGGAAACCCUUAAAUGAAUCCUACAACA
rnacentral:lncRNA from 1 species